UGGUAAGUAGUUUUGCUUUCGUUAACGAAAAUGAUGACUAAAUAUCGUUGUCAACGACCCUUUAUCACGUGAGGAAAACGAGACGAGACGCAACGUAAAUGCUGUUCAUGUGACGAUAACUAUAAUUAAAUACAUAAUGCAGUAUUGUUGACGAAUAAAAAUGAGACUAAAUGUGUUUUACAAAAUAAUACUCUUCAUUUUCGAUGACCAAAACUAGUUGAGUUUUAUUUAUUUUAUUUUUUAUUUCUGGGGCUGUAUCAGGUUACGUUACUUCCUGAAUCCCCUCUCGUCGCGAUUCACAAGACGCAACUGUGGUGGUAGCGUUAAUUAAAACUUAAGGCCCUCUCCACACUAAUCCGGGUAAAUAUAAAAACGUACAACUUGUAACUGAAGAUACAUAGUACAUUGCACAGAUAAAUCAUAAUUUCCAUUUCACCUGCCUUUUUUUUUUUUGAUGAGCGCAAGCUUGUGGCAUUAUUGGUGGUGUGUCAUGGCAACCGAACGCCAUCGUAUCUGAAAGCCUCUACCCUGUCCACACUACAAUGCAAUCGUAGCGUGUUCAUAUUUAUCCACCUCAGCGCUCGUUUUUGAAAAGCAUCGUUAUCAGUGUCGGAAUUCGGCGUUCUAAUGUGGACAGAACAUGUUUGGUUGGUAAAAUAAAUACGUUGUAAAUUCAUAUCAGAGUGUCUUCCUUGUCUGGAAUGGAUUAUGUAUUAUUUCUAAUAAGGUAACAAUAAUAUAAUAAUAAGAUUACCUUGUUUGAAUUGUGAAAUGGGUUUGGCAAAAAUAAAAUGUUGGUUUUGUCAAUACUACUAGGUAGCCUACUUAUACUAUAUUGACUGAGUUAAAUAGAAUUGCAUAACAAAAAAGUUACUAAUACAAUUUGCUUUGACUAAAACUAGCCUAAAAUAGUCAUGGAUAAUUCUGACUAAAAUAAGACUUAAAUGCUCUUUUAGUCGUCUGAAACUUGAGUAGACUGAAAAGAGUAUGAACGUGAAUAAAACUAAUAAAAACUAAAAUGACAGCUUGACACAAACACUAGACUAAAACUAAAAUUAAAACAGGCCGCCAAAAACAACAUUACUGGUAAGUGGGUGACUGGUGAACGGG